rnacentral:lncRNA from 1 species
AAUUAAAAUAAAUAAAUAAAUAAAAUAUAACAAAUUAUUUUGGACUUGGGUCUCCCUCAUUCCAAGCCCAUUACCCACAAAAUUAGUCUAUAAAUACUGAAGUUUCAGUAGAGAAAAGGACUGGGAGUUAGACUUAGAGUUUACACUGGGAGAUUCACUGGAGAAAGAAGGAAGAGAAGCAAAACACUCUGAGGUUUCCUUGGAACAAAACCUUGAGGAAAAAGAAAGAGAGAGAACAGAGAAGG